rnacentral:rRNA from 1 species
UACGUAGGGGGCAAGCGUUGUCCGGAAUCAUUGGGCGUAAAGCGCGUGUAGGCGGCUCGAUAAGUCUGCUGUGAAAGUCCAGGGCUCAACCCUGGGAUGCCGGUGGAUACUGUCGAGCUCGAGUCCGGAAGAGGCGAGUGGAAUUCCUGGUGUAGCGGUGAAAUGCGCAGAUAUCGGGAGGAACACCAGUGGCGAAGGCGACGCGCUGGAUCCCUACUGACGCUGAGGCACGAAAGCCAGGGAGCAAACGGG